UACGUAGGUGGCAAGCGUUGUCCGGAUUUAUUGGGUUUAAAGGGCGCGUAGGCGGCCUUGCGUGUCUUUCGUGAAAUCCCUCGGCUUAACUGAGGACGUGCGGAAGAAACUGCAGGGCUGGAGUCCGGGAGAGGGGGGUGGAAUUCCCAGUGUAGCGGUGAAAUGCGUAGAUAUUGGGAGGAACACCGGUGGCGAAGGCGGCCCCCUGGACCGGUACUGACGCUGAGGCGCGAAAGCGUGGGUAGCAAACGGG
rnacentral:rRNA from 1 species